CCGGUCCUUCUCGAUCCGGGAAAUCCCCCCUCUGCUCAGGUCGAGUCUUCUCCCCAAAGCUGAGCUCCCACCCCUCUUUCUCCACCGAGCCAGCCAGUCGCUCGAUCCCCUCGCCGUGGCAUGCAGGACUCCCUCCGGUCUCUCCUGGAAUUCGCCUCGCCGGGGUCGGAGCCUUAGCUCCCCUCAGGCCUGGCGCCUGUUGGAUUUCACCGCAGCCGGCUGUCUCCAGGGUAAAAGCAUGGAGUAUACAGCUUCAGAACUGAUGUAUCCAAACAUAAAUUCAAAAGUGCACACAGAAACAUUGAUGGCAAUGAUAGAUGAUAAUGUGCCAAAGCUGAAAAGGUUGCCCUUAUAUGUACAAGUACAGAAUUGGCAGUCUUAUUGGUACUACGUCAGCACCAUUAUUGGUAUACUCGUUUCACAUCUUGAUACUAGAAGACUCAGAAUAAUUGAUAUGAAAAAGGAGAACAAAGUUGCUGUCAUGACUACUACAAAGAUGGGUGUCAAACAAGACUUUUGUUUUGUAACUAGCUUUCCUUGGGUGUUGGUUUCCUAAUUCCUAGUCACCAUUACUCCAGAAGUAGAAGCAGUACGAAGAAUCUGUAUCUGAACAACACCUUUUGGCAUUGUGGCCUCGGCAGUCUGGUGAUUCAUGCUGAAUUGGUCUCCGCUAUCAGCAGCCUCAGCAGUAUUUUGGUUCAAUUGUUGGUUUUCUGAUGAAUUUGCACCAUGGCCAGCAAGUCAGCAACUGUUUUACAUUUCCUAUCAUAUUCUUCGACGAGCUCUGUCAUGUACAGUGAUGCAAGACGGAAGAGUCUCGUUCCUUUGACUUUUGAGGGCUGAGGGAGGACAGAUCUUAGCUUCUCGGUUCCAUCUUCCGCUUGGUGUCCAAAUGGUAUGGGUUCAAGGACUGAAGCUGCAGGGACAUUUUGAUCUUUCAAGCUGCUCUCAAGUUCAUCACCCACAGUCCCAUUGCUCCUCUGUGACUCUUGGAGUCUCUCAAGAUGAGUAGCAACCGAGUCAAUCAUUGCCUCAAGCUGUUUAAUCCUCGCUGCUGCUUGUAGCAUGAGACCAUUCUCACUGAUUUUACCAAUCCCAGGGAACAGAGGAAAGCGGGCGAAGGGGACCUGCGAUCCCUCUUUUGUUUCUUGGAGAAGGAUAGAUCAGGAGAGGGGAGCCCGGGGUUCGUUCGUUCUUGGACAGGAGCCGAACAAGCGGAAGCUUAAAUGGUCGGAGGAAGACGACGGAGGGAGCAGCGGGAAGGCGAGGCGGGCGAAUUGGACGGCUGAAGAGCGCCAGGAGCUAGCCAGCACGAAUCGUGAAGCAUACCACGUAACCGCUACUAACAUGGCAUCCCGGGCUGAAUGCUGCUUUGAAUGAAUUUUCGGGGCACUGAGCCCACGUCAUAACCACGGGCCCAGGCCCAUGACAUCCGUGAUUUGCAGGAUCUUAAAUACUUCCAGGAUAUUACCAGAAAAAAAUACUUCCAGGAUGGUCAA